rnacentral:rRNA from 1 species
AUUGAACGCUGGCGGCAGGCCUAACACAUGCAAGUCGAGCGAGCGGCGGACGGGUGAGUAAUGUAUGGGGACUGCCCGAUAGAGGGGGAUAACUACUGGAAACGGUAGCUAAUACCGCAUACUAUCGGAUAACCCAUAUGGGAUUAGCUAGUAGGUGAGGUAAUGGCCCACCUAGGGGACGAUCCCUAGCUGGUCUGAGAGGAUGAUCAGCCAAACUGGAAUGGGGAAACGGCCCAGACUCCUAGGGAGGCAGCAGGGGGGAAUAUUGCACAAUGGGCGCAAGCCUGAGGCAUCCAGGCGGCGUGUAUGAAGAGGGCCCUAGGGUUGUAAAGUACUUUCAGUCGGGAGACGUUACCGACAGAAGAAGCACCGGCUAACUCCGUGCCAGCGGCCGCGGUAUAC